rnacentral:lncRNA from 1 species
CAGGGCCAAAUGCUUUCCUCCUCUCUUUCCCCCGACUGAAAUGUGCUUUGAGCUCGCUGCUUUCAGACCCGUGAGCCUGAACGUGUGACCUCACUGCCUGUGUGCAGGACAGCAGGCUGGGAUGUCAGACCAAGGGGAUAUCAGUGGCAGAGGGCUGUCUCAAACGAGCUGUGCCACUGCAAUUAGUCACCAAGUCGUUCCAAAUCAGGAGUGUAGCAGGGAAAGCCAAGGUCAAUUUGCAAACUGAUGGAACGGGAGGAAGUCCGAUGCAUAAAUAAUCUGUCACAAGCUAUUCACCCAUUGCUAUCCCCAUCACGUCCUCAAUAAGCUAACGGGCAGCACCGUCACUCAAUGGCAGGUUGAUGUGCUUUCCGUGGGGUGAUGGGAUUGUUCCUCAUUGAUUCUGACCGCUGACUUGCAGUGCGUGGUGGAUAUCUGGGAAGAGCAGUAAUUCAACACGCAGUCAUCCUGGGCAAGGACCAAGACCAGCUAUUCUCCAGCCAUCACUGGAUCCCUUCCUCCACGCACCUUCAGCACUCAGGCUUAGCUCACAGUUUGGGUGUCCUUCCUUUGCAGCCCUCCAGCACCUGAUUUCUGGGACACAGCUGAGGACAGGACCUGCAGCAGCACAGCCUUCAGAGCCCUCCUUCGAUCUGUUUUCCAUUUGAGUGCCCUCCUCUGAGGAUUGACUCAUGCUUCUUGAC